UGAGAAAUGGAAUAGGAAAUAUAUUUAUUAGAGCCAUGCUUGAUUCUUGUUUACCAUUUUACCUACAUAUUUAAUAUUUUACCACUGGUAAUAUACGAAAUCUAAAGAUGCUCAAGUCAAAAACUUUUGUAAAAAAGACGCGGAAAGGGGGUGUUAUGAAGAUUGUGCGCGAACACUAUCUUCGCGAUGAUAUAUGGUGCGGAGUGAAUGGCUGUCCACAAUGUUCUCAAACUGAGCCAGUACUGGAAGUGAGACCUGAGAGUAAUUCAUCUCUUUUUAAUUUUCCACAUUUUAUUGUUCCUGAUACAAAUAUUGCUCUUCGUCAG